CGUUUCAUUUCAUUUUUCUAAAAAAAUUUACAAGGGGGGAAAACCUCUGGUAGGUUUUCAACCCCCCAGCCCUCCAUGCCGCCGCCGUUCAGUUGAUGCCCACGGCCUCCGUCGACGGAGAAGACGCCGAAUCCGGCGAAAAAGGUAAGUUUCUCUUCCCCCUCUCCCUUUUGAUAAAUUAAUAUAAACACAAAAAUACUCAAAAGAGAAUAAAAUCGAAAAAACACCUUUAUAUUCAAAGAAAAAAAAAUGUAUUUCUCUUUUCUUUUUUUCCUGUAUUUCGUAUUUCGUAUUUUGUAUUUGUAUCACUUUUUCGAAUUCCCCUUUUUACAGAUUUUCCAUGGCCUUUUAUAGCCGAAAAUAAUGAAAAUAAAUUCUAUUUUGCUUGCUAUUAUCUUCCUUUUUUGUUGCUGUUUUGUUUCUGUUUGUUGUGCAGGUGCGGAGGUCGUGGAAGAGGCAUGCGAUGUGGAGGCUUGCACGACGUGCGUGGAAAGUGACAACCGCUGGCACACACGCGCGGUGAGGACCCGAUGAUUGCGGCGCCACUGAAACUGCACUAGGGCUUCUCGAUCAUUCCUCUGCUAUUGAUUUCAAGCUACUGUUUGGGCUCAUUUAGUAAUGGGCUGUUUAAUUAUUUGUUUUUGUUUUAGCCAGGCCAAAAUUGGCCUAUUACACAUAUAUAAUUUAAAAUUUAAAUUUAAAGUAAACUAGUAAACGCCAUGCAUGUUGAAACCUCAUUAAUAUUGAGUUAGUGUGCGAUUGGCUUGUGACACCAUUCAAAUUAAAGGUUUAAAGUUAAUAGAGUAUUUCACAUUCAAGCGUAAUCGAUAUUGAAAAAUAUCCAAACUCGAAUCGAUCUCAACGACUUAACUAACUUAGCAUAUAUUGUUAUUUUUAUUUAUUUUAAAUAUGUUAAUAAUAUGUAAUAUAUAAAUAUUCAAAAUUUAAAUUAAACGUAGCCGGAUUUAUUUGCUCAAAUCAGGACAUUGGCAUUGGUAGAAGUCAACAUUUUCUAUCUGUUAGUCGUAUCUUGGUCCUAUCUCCUGAUGAGUAUUCCAUGUAUGUUCUUGACAAGGCUGGGGCUGGGUUUUGUGUAUUGCUUGUGCCUUCAUUUUAAUUGAUUCCUAUCAGCAAUAAUAAUCAUGUUGUACUUUUCAAAAAGAAAAUUGACGAAUGCUCCUCUUCUUGCUUCUCCUGCUUAUGUCUUCAGAAGAGUUUUGUUCAUCCGCCUAUGUCUUCUUUUGCAACUGUUGUAAUGAUGCAUGUUUACCCGUGCAGUGCUUCAAGGUUUGCCUACAUUUAUUUGUUAGGUGCGACAACGAUUCAGCCCCUGUACCAGGGUUGCAUCCAGCUGCUACCAAUUGCCUUGCUGCUGCAGGUACACUAUGACAAACACUAGAGGCAAGUCUAAGGUCGUCGUUCCUGUUUCAAAAAAACAAAAGACUCCGGACGUGACCUCUUCGCCGAGUGCUGCCGUCAAUACCCGUUAUCCAUUCUUACAGUUUCCAUAGGAUCCCCAGGAGGACCUAUAUUAGCAGCUCCGAUAGCGGCCGUUUGGAUUAGGCUGAUGUAUUGAUUGGAUGGCUUUGGAGCAGGUCCAAUUAGCUGAUCGAGUCCGCACCAUCAUUGCUACAGCUCCUUGGGACCAUUUCUUUUCUAUCGUCGAGCCCACCUAUUUGGAGCUGACCUUUGAGUUUUGUUCGACAUUUCUCUUAUAGCAAGUGAUGUCGACCCAUGACGAGCCGCGCACUAUUACUUUUUGAUUCGAUAGUAUGACGCAGCAUAUGAGCGUCCUAGAGUUUGGAGUUACAUUAGGACUCUACACUGAGGAGUUCUUAGGUGCCGAGGGGUUUCCAAUUAUACCGGCACAUCCACUACUCACUAACUCUUUGCUGGGUAGACCUUACGGCUAGUACAAUGACCUAUGAUCUGAGCCGGUCGAAGGUGACUUCACUACCUCUUGCUUUGCGAUAUAUCCAUGCCAUCUUGGCCCACACUUUGACAGAUCGGAGGGAGAGCACAAGAGUUGUCGGUACACUCGACGCUUAUUUUUUGUGGAGCAUGGCCACGGGGUGCACUUUCGAUUUAGCCUAUUUCAUCGCUCUCGCUUUCUGCCAAAGUGUAGUAGGAAAGGUUCUAUCUACAUAGGCCCUUACGUUACUUGACUUGCACGUCACUUUGGCCUCCUCGACACACCGAAGUUGUCCUCCUCCCUUACACUAGUUGGAUAGAUGUCUUCAUAAGGAUCAUCUAGUAUGAGUCACAUGAGGAUGAUCGAGCAACUGCGUGGAGUGGAUCCUCCUCAAUACCGAUUAUCUCAUUUUGAUCCUUAGAAUGAGCAUGAGGACUUCAUUGAUAAUGUUCCUUUCCACUACGAGGGUCCAUAUCAUCCUCCAUCUUAGACUCACCGUUUUGCUACUUCUGUUGCCACCUUAGUGGACCUCUCUGAGUGGUUCACUCGUUUCGAGUGAUACUGUUUUGAGCGGUUCGACAGUAUCGAUGCGACUUUGCAGCAGAUCUGUCAGCACCUCCUUAUAUCCUCUUCAGCGUCGGCGACUCACAACACCGAUGCCUCUGACGAUAAGGAUAAUUGAUUUUAUUUGUUUUCUUUUUCUUUUUAUGUUUAUUUUUGUUUUUGUUUUUAGUUGUUUUAUUUUUAUUUUCUUAGACUUCUUUCGUUUAUUAUCUUCUGAGCUAUAUUUUAAUUUUUUAUGGUUGUUUCUAAUUGAGUUGUAACCUCUUAAUAUUUUUUUAUUAUUUUUAUUUAUUUUCUUAUUAGUUGCUCGAAACUAUGCAUUACAUUUCAAUUGCCUACAAUUUCGAUUUUCACUAUUCUGG